UACGAGGGGGGGCGAGCGUUUGUUCGGAAUUAUUGGGCGUAAAGGGUGCGUAGGCGGUUUGGUAAGUCUGAUGUGAAAUCUAUGGGCUCAACUCAUAGUCUGCAUCGGAAACUGCCGGGCUUGAGUGUGGGAGAGGUGAGUGGAAUUCCUGGUGUAGCGGUGAAAUGCGUAGAUAUCAGGAGGAACACCUGUGGCGAAAGCGGCUCACUGGACCAUAACUGACGCUGAUGCACGAAAGCUAGGGGAGCAAACAGG
rnacentral:rRNA from 1 species